UAAAAUAAUAUGUAGUUUUUACAUCCUAAAAGCUUACUUUUACCGAAAUAUAAUCUGUAUGAAUCCUUGUACGGCAGUUAUUGUAUUAUCACAAAUUUAUUUUAAAUUGUUUUUUAGCUAAAGUUUGAUAGAGAUUUUUUAAUGUGUAUAAUAACAUAUUUCGAUGAACGGUUCAGACUAAAUCGUUCAGUAGCAAUGACAUAUAUGACUAAAAAUAUAUUAUAAUAUUUUUCGCUUGCCCACAAAUGGACAUUUACAAGGGUCAUAACUAUAUCAUAAAUGAUAUUAGGUAUGUAAUGAACUUAAAAUCAUCCUGUGUUAUUUAUUGCAAGGGAAACGCGUGACAAUAUGUAGUCAACACUAGAAAAAUAAGUUUUUUAAGAGUUCAACAAGAACGGAGUUGAUAAUCAAGUACUCAACAAAAAUAUUUAAUCAGGUCUUUCUAUAGACAAGUGAUUUUCAAAAUUAAAUAAAUGCUAUAUUCAGUACGGAUAUAUGAAAAUAUUAAUAAAGAAAAAAUAAUUAAAAGAUAUAAAUUACGACAAUGUAAAAAAUCAGUCAAUGAUAUAACACGGUGAUAGUACCACCAUAAAAUUUCUCAGAGGGCUCGACUUGCUACUGAUCGAGAAAUAUAAAAAAUAUAUAUCUACAAGAGUGAAAAUGGAAAAAAAUUAUCAGCAUUUUUUUUUUUACAACGUAAUUUUUAUAUUAUUUUAUCUAACAAAAAAAAUGUCUGAAUAAACGACUGAAAAGGUGUGUUCUUAUUAAUAUUUUGUUAUGUACUUCAACAUAUUACUUAAAAUUCUACAUCACGUGGCAUAUCAUUAAGGACGUAUAACCAUCAAUUUAUGCUUCAAAAAUCAAAGGCCGUAUAAAAUGGCAAUCUUAUUAUGGAAUGUAACCGUAAUUGUAACUAAGUGAAUAAUACGUGAUUAAUAGUUCAUCUCAUAAUUAUUGUUUUCCUCAGAAUUUUGUGUUAAAUAAAUCAUAAUUUUCCUUUA